UGACUUGCAGGUUCAUUUUGUUUGU
rnacentral:piRNA from 1 species